GAUGAACGCUGGCGGCGUGCCUAAUACAUGCAAGUCGAGCGAACAGACGAGUAUCUUGCUACUCUGACGUUAGCGGCGUACGUGUGAGUAGCACGUGGUUCCCUUACCUUUAAGACUGGUUUAACUUAGUGAAACCGAAGCUAAUACCGGAUACUAUCUUGAACCUCAUGGUUCAAUAGUUUCAGCCGUUUUUGAUGUCACUGCUAGAUGUAUCCUGGCCGCAUUAGCUAGUUGUUAAGGUAACGGCUUACCAUGGCAACACUGCGUAGCCGACCUGAGAGGGGGAAGGGCCACACUGGAACUGAGACACGGUCCAGACUCCUACGGGAGGCAGAAGUAGGGAAGCUACCGAAAUGGGCGGAAGACUGAAGGAGCAACGCAGCGUGAGUGAUGCAGGGCUUCGGAUCGUAAGACGCUGUUAGUAGGGAAGACCAAAUGUGUAAGUAACUAUGCACGUCUUGACGGUACCUAAUCAGAAAGCCACGGCUAACUACGUG
rnacentral:rRNA from 1 species